rnacentral:lncRNA from 1 species
GCAAAGACGGGUUCGCAGACGCGCGCGGUCAGGGCUGGCGCGAGCUUCCCCGGCGUUGUAGCACGGAGGAAGCCGGCCGAGUCGGAAAGUUUCAGAGAUUCGGGGCUGUCGUUGAGCGGGAGCGGCGCAAGGAGGACGCGCGGCGCCCUCUGCAGUCCCGCUGCAGCGUCACAGAAGAAGCGCAACCUGCCCGAUCGUGCGCACGAGGAGGCGGAGUGUCAGGGAAGGUCGACGAAACGAUGCAGGAAGCACUCGUUUCCCGUCAGUGUUGAACAGGACUACGAGAAACUCAAUGCAGAGUUUGAUGAGCUGGAGCUAUUUGAACUCACUGUUGAGUAAGGAGCUAGCGGUAUGAAUGCCCACGUGAAAAUAUGAGACCAUUGAUCUGCUAUUUCUACAUUAUAUUAUCUGAGGAGGGAGUGCAAGCUGUGAGUAGUUGUGUGUCCACGUACCUGCAAUAAGUUUUUGUGUUACGUGGGAUUGGAAGGUUUAGUUUUCUAAUUUUCUCCAAUUUUUAUGCGUGUUCGUAUUAGAUUUUGAUUUAUUUUCAAUUAACUUUCCGGUGCAUGUCAGCACGUUAGCUUGUAAGCACGUAGUAAUAUCAUUACAACACAUCAUGUUCUGAAAUGAUUUUUUUUAAUAAAAAAGAGUAUCAGAUACAGGGAACGAGCAAAACUGAAAUUCCACCAGAAAUUGAACUUUGUUUUUCAAACAACUUAAAAUAAUAAUUCAUGGUAACCCUGUUUGCUAAAGUCUAGAUACAAAGUCUAUUACCAUGAGAUGUAUUUCUGCAUACAUUCAGAGCCAAUGUCAGAACCUGGCAGAUGUCUUUCACUCCAUUCACAGCAAAUAAGUUGUAAACAAUUCGUAAUAUUAACACCUUUAAUAGUGUAGACUGCACCAUAUUGUAUAUUUAGAAUGAUUUGUUGUUAAAAACAAAACCAUUUAAAACCAUAGAGAAGCACUCAGGCAGCAGAGCACAGUUCUAUUAAGCAAAACAUUGUAAACAUUAGGCAAGCUUGUGCAGGUAUUUCUGAUUGCUGCUGUUUAUGUAACUCGGCCUACUGAGUACUUUACAUAUUAUUUGUCAUAGUGUUAUGAAUCGACAAGAAAAACAGUUCAGUGGUCGCACGUUAUUUUACAUGAUUAUACCUUCUGUUAUAGAGAUACUAAGGUUCUUUUCAGCAGCUUCAUUUUUUUACAGUAAUCUGUGUAUCACAUGUUGUAGAAUAUUAUGAGCUGUAUAGUGAGCAUAUCAGUUUGUGACACGAUUUCUAUUUUGAUUCUAUUUCUAUUCUAUUCUAAUACCCCUUAAUGUAUAUCUCUGGAGUAUAAAAUACCUGGAAGUAGGAGUAGGAACAAUACUUUUUUUUAUAUUAUUUAGUAUUUUUAAUGAAAAUUUACUCUUAGUACAUGUGUUAACACUUUUUAGGUCAAAGUAAUUACUAUAGAUAAGGACAGCUUCUUACGUUACUUAUGUGAAAGUAAACGUAAAACAAUAAGAGCAAAACGUUUCCAUUGAAAUUCUAAAUUGGAUUUCUGGCUGCUCAAA